CGAGGAAGCAACACGUGUGAGAGUUUUUUUGAUGCAAUACCAGGAAUUGGGACAUCUGGAACUUCUGGAAUUGAGAUAAGUCAGAAGUCUUCUAGCUCAAACAUUAUAUUAAAAUGCCUUUUCAGGAUAAAUCCAGAUAGGGGGACCAAAGUGGAGAAGAAGCCAACUAAAAAACAGCAGUCCAUAAAUCCUAAUCAAUUUCAUUGAUUACAAACAUUGCAAACUUUGAAUGGAGAGAGUAGACAUCAUCUCACAUGCCAGCUUUCAUACAUAUCCAAUUUGUUUAUGCUAUUCUGUAAUGUUUAAAGGGUUGAUUCUGCUUGUGUUUUGUGGCUGGCUGUUAUCUUGAGUGAGUGCGGCAUUUUAAUGUGUGCUUUAAUGCAAAUUGUGUACAUUUCAAAGUACAGGGUUAAAAAAAAAAAAAGCUGUCAUUCUCACAGUAAAGACUGUUUAUGGAAGUUGGUUAGUUUUAACCAGUAGGGAGAACCAGUUACAUUUAAAAAAAUAAAUAAAAUUAUAAUAUUGCUGCUAACGAUGCUAUGAAGUGUUUUGUUAAAUGUUGAUCACAGGAUGUAUUUGCAGAUAACAAAUAAAACAAAAUUAA